rnacentral:rRNA from 1 species
UACGAAGGGGGCUAGCGUUGCUCGGAAUUACUGGGCGUAAAGCGCACGUAGGCGGCUUGUUAAGUCGGAGGUGAAAUCCUGGAGCUCAACUCCAGAACUGCCUUCGGUACUGGCGAGCUCGAGUCCGGGAGAGGUGAGUGGAACUGCGAGUGUAGAGGUGAAAUUCGUAGAUAUUCGCAAGAACACCAGUGGCGAAGGCGGCUCACUGGCCCGGUACUGACGCUGAGGUGCGAAAGCGUGGGGAGCAAACAGG